GAUGAACGCUGGCGGCGUGCUUAACACAUGCAAGUCGAACGGUGAAGCAGGAGCUUGCUCUUGUGGAUCAGUGGCGAACGGGCGAGUAACACGUGAGCAACCUGCCCCUGACUCUGGGAUAAGCGCUGGAAACGGCGUCUAAUACUGGAUAUGUGAUGUGACCGCAUGGUCUGCAUCUGGAAAGAAUUUCGGUUGGGGAUGGGCUCGCGGCCUAUCAGCUUGUCGGUGAGGUAAUGGCUCACCAAGGCGUCGACGGUUAGCCGGCCUGAGAGGGUGACCGGCCACACUGGGACUGAGACACGGCCCAGACUCCUACGGGAGGCAGCAGUGGGGAAUAUUGCACAAUGGGCGGAAGCCUGAUGCAGCAACGCCGCGUGAGGGAUGACGGCCUUCGGGUUGUAAACCUCUUUUAGCAGGGAAGAAGCGAAAGUGACGGUACCUGCAGAAAAAGCACCGGCUAACUACGUGCCAGCAGCCGCCGUAA
rnacentral:rRNA from 1 species